CAGUUCAGAUUGCAGGCUGCAACCCGCCUGCAUGAAGUCGGAAUUGCUAGUAAUCGCGGAUCAGCAUGCCGCGGUGAAUACGUUCCCGGGCCUUGUACACACCGCCCGUCACACCAUGGGAGCCGGUAAUACCCGAAGUCAGUAGUCCAACCUCGUGAGGACGCUGCCGAAGGUAGGAUUGGCGACUGGGGUGAAGUCGUAACAAGGUACC
rnacentral:rRNA from 1 species